GACCGCGUAGUUCAGUUGGCAGAGCAUUGGGCUAGUAUUCCAAAGGUCGGCGUAGGUUCGAAUCCCACCGUGGCCA